CUCCUGUUGAAAAGAUGUCAGUUACUUCUAUGGUAGCAAUUUUGAUUUCAGCAGUAACAUAUAUUAUGAUUUAAACAUAGCACUGGAUUUUGGAUAAAAAAAUGUCCAGGUCAUUAUGUGGGAUUUAAUGCAUCAAGGCCAGCUUUGCUUAAGAUGUGUUCUGCAUAGAGCGCCAUGAAAGACGAGGAGAAGUACUCUACCGUACGCUAUUUUGGUUUCUAGUGCUUACUUUCCAUAGAGGAGAACUGACGCUUCGCAUGCAAAUUCCCGAUCAGAUGCAAGCUCAAACGCACAAAACGACCGAGAGAGCCGCUCCAUUGGAUUACAUUUUCUUUCUAAUGAAAAACCUGAAACCCAAACGACUCACGGCUUUCUCGUGUUGUAUGCAGAAUGUAGGUGGAUGUAAGCGAGGGAACAAGGCUGAUAAUCUUAGGUAUUUAGAUUAAGAUCUGUUGCGAGACAGAAACAUGGAAAGCAACACGGGAGAUGCUUCAACACGUCACCACCACCUAGCGGCAGAUUGGAUAUUGCAAAAAAAGAAUACACCAUUAUCGGAGGAUAUCAACAGAGCCCUUUGAUGUUGCCGUGGGAUGCCAUCAGCGGCCGGGAACGAGGGAUGGGGGAGAAAGGAGCGAGGGAUGAAAGAGGGCAAAGAUGCUUCACUGACCCAACCCACACUGCCGUGUCAACGCAAACAUCAGGCAGGGCUGCUGACCAAACGUAGGUGUGAUGACUGGCGCAUUUAUCCCGGAUUAUCUGCCUCUACCUCCAGGACCGACAUAAUCAGCUCCUAAUUGGAUCAUGUCGCAACGCAGCGAACAGAAAUAGCAGCAGUUGGCAGGCCUGCCUUGAUUCCAACAAGUGGGGAAGAAGAACGGCCAAAGCCCAUAAAUUGGUAACGCAGUCUGUGGCCAAUGUUUUAAUGAGGGUUUACCUAAUACCGAACUUGAGCACGAUUUUCAGUGGGCCAGUGAAUUUGAGAGCUAUAGUGAUGUCAUUCUUGGAUCCUGUACUGGAAGGAGGCCAUAGGUAGGUACAGCAUGCUUUCCAUUUUUUUUGCAGUGUCAAGUUAUUAAUGCAAAAAAACUAAUAAAAACACCCUUAAGACCGCCUCAACACCGCUUUGUAGGAUAAACUGAAACACUAAAAGCAAUUCACAACUUCAAAAUGAUAUACAUUUAGCUCAUACACACAUACACAGAGAGAUAGAGAGAGAGAACUAGAAACUAUCUGACAAGAAUACUUUUUUAUUGACUCUGAAAACACUUGCACUACUUCCACGUACCACAUUUCCAUGGCAACCGCUGCAUA
ensembl:lncRNA